CCGGGAUGCUACGAACGCGAUGGAAUUGGAUCGUCGGGAGCCCGAGUCUUCCAGUCAGUUCGCCCAGCUGGCGGCUGACACCUACAAGAACCAAUGAGCGGGCAGCUCGUCCAGCCACUACCUCCAUGGGCGGGGGAGCCAAUCCUGUUGCAGAUAGGCGGCCACGCCCAUCUCGGAAGACGCUGGGGAGAGCGUUGAAGGGCGGGUCCCAGGGACUAAAGGGACCUCGGGACUCUUUGGAGUCUGUCAGCCGGGUCAGGACCCGGGGAGGGAAGGUGGAGGUGGACCCUGACCCAGGGCUCCUCAGAUGAUUGUGCACAAAGAGAGCAUCCCAUGAGCCUGGGCUCCCAUGGCAUCCAAAGACAAAGACAUAGUGCCCUCACUGGGCUCCCCCUGGGACGCCAUCCUCCAGGCUGCCAAAGACCAGCUCCCGUCCCUGGACUCCGACUCCUCCUUGUCAGACUUUGAUGAAGAGGAACCAUUCAUCUUCCAGCGAAACCAACCUGUCCUGAUUCCAGACCUGGCUGAGGAGCUGGCUGAAGACCCUGCUGGUAGAGACAAAUCUGGGACCUGGGUCCCUGGAGCUAAAAAACCUCCACCUGAGGUCUGUGGGACGCAGGCUAAGGGAACCCAUGAUGUCUGGCACCUUGCUGGCAGAAGGGAGUAUGUGUCUGUCCACAGCUCUCGGGACUCUAAACAUCAGUAUGGGUCCACAGUGCCUAAAACUGCUGGUCUAGCAUGUGGUACACUCAGUCCUUCCACCUUCAGGGACAAACCAAAGUAUUCAGGGGCCCAACUGCUAAGCAUGUGCAUCUCUUUUCCCUAAGACGCCCAGCACACUUCUCUGUCUGAUUUUGCCCUCUGCUCUCCCUCUAGUCCCCUCCUUUCCUGUUUUCUACCAAGACACACCACACUGUCUGGCCAUUGUCACAGCUGCCUGUCAUAAAUGUCUCUCCAUAACCUGCCUGGCUCCACAGCUACCUGGCACGGAGCCUGGCAAGUAAGCAGAAGCUUCCUAAACAUUUGUUUAACUGUGAAAGGCUCCAGAGGGCAGAAGGUCCUCCAUUAAUCCCUCAGCAGACAUGCAAGCUGCUACUCAGGACACAAUUAGGGAAGGCCAUAGCACCCUCUCAAGCCUCUUAGUCACAGUAACUGCCAACAUCAGAUCCAGUUUCUAUCUCUGUCUCCCCACUUCCCAGGACCCCAGGUAAGAC
rnacentral:lncRNA from 1 species